AGUCCCGGCUAGGGACACAGCUCUUAGACUUUGAGCUAGACAACCAGGAGGACAGGAGGACCUAGUAUCCUGCCUCCAUCAGCCCAUCAUUUAUGCAAAUGCUACUUAGUUGCCGUCUAGAUGCAGGAUGCUGUCUGCCCUGUUAAAUGCUGUGUGAACCCAGAUGGAAGCUGAGCAGACAUCACACUCGUGAGCAGCUCCCCUUCCUAUGCUGAGAUUAAAGGCAUGUGCCAUCACCACCUGAACAACAGCAGCUUUCUAAGGAACCAGUAAGGCACUACAGACUUUUCAUAUAACAUCACCUUCAUUCUCUCACAACUAAUUCUACAAAACAGAUGUUAUACGACCUCGUUCGCUGAAGUCAAAGAUGCAGAGGGGCCAAGGUGUGGGCUCCGGACCUCACACCAGUGUGGCAGAUUCAACAAGCCCAGAAUAAGCCUCUUCCUUUGCUCACAAUAAGAUUAAGCCAACUGCCUCUUCAUUCCUCAGUCACACUCCUCCUCUGACCCUGCUCCAGGAGGCUCAUCUUGUCAGACUUCACACUGAAUGAGCGCUGAGGAUGCUGUAGAGUAUGAGCUGUGUGCAGGAUUGCUAUCUUCUGGUCCUGUACUCCUCAAGCUCAAAGGCCAACGUCCUGGCAUUUGUGUGACGGCUUUUGCCCUACCCUGCAGAAUUUGCAAUAGGCAGUCUCUACAUGUACUCAGGGCCCAGUGGGCAUUCAACAUGUUCAUUGAAUGACAA
rnacentral:lncRNA from 1 species